UACGUAAGGGGCAAGCGUUGUCCGGAAUCACUGGGCGUAAAGCGCACGUAGGCGGCUUAGUAAGUCAGGGGUGCAAUCUCCAGGCCUAACCUGGAAACUGCCUCUGAAACUGCUUUGCUUGAGUAUCAGAGGGGAAACUGGAAUUCACGGUGUAGCGGUGAAAUGCGUAGAUAUCGUGGAGAACACCCGUGGCGAAGGCGGGUUUCUGGCUGAUUACUGACGCUGAGGUGCGAAAGCUAGGGGAGCGAACGGG
rnacentral:rRNA from 1 species